CGAAUUGCUUCCUAAUCCUAAUCAAAAUUUGCCCGCUGCCUGCAGAUCAGAGAGGAUGAGAAUUGAUUUUAUGAGUGGUUAACAAGCCAUUAGCAUCACUCAUGGCACCUCUCAUGCAUAGAUGCUCUUGAUGCUUCUCUCUGUUGUGUUCUUGGCAAUUUGGGUGGUGAUGGAUUUUUGGUUGCUGCUUGGACAUGGGUCAUACAAUUGGCCUACAUCCAGAAUCUUGAGAUGAGCCGGAUGAAGGUGGAGUAGCUGGAGCACGAGCUCCAUCGAGCCAGACAGCAGGUCUGUGAUGCAGUUCUUUGCAAGUUGAGGUCGUUGAUUGUUCAAUUCAAAUGCACAUUGCAUUGAUCUAUGAUACCUUAAUUAAUUCAACGCUGUCACCUGGCGAGGUGCCAAACCGAGCAGGGACAGAUGUGAGCAGGCACAGGUAAGCAGGCUCAAGUUUCUAUUUUUGUACACUUAGCUGCAAGCCUGCAAGACAAGUAGGAGCCAAAGCGGCAACUCAUUGCUCACUGUCCAGUACCCUCUGUUCAAUUUCAAUAGUCGAUAAUUCUUUCUUACAAGUACACAGUAAUAAUAUAGCAUGUUCAUUAUUGCC